ensembl:snRNA
GUAUUGUAUGAGAGGGGAGAAGGUGAGCACUCCCUUGACAAGAACGGAAGAGGCCCUUGGGCCUGACAACACCCCCAUAGUUAAGGCAUCGCCACCUGCUUCGUGGCAUCUAACCACUGCUUUUG